GUUGAAAAACUGCAGAAUCGUCGGUGCGUGUGAGGGUGGGGGUACCUCUCAUUUUCUUUCUUUGAUCGACCAAAAAAAAAUGGAAAAGACGAAGAAGACAUAUAAAACCAGUUCGGUUAAAUCGUUGGGCC
ensembl:ncRNA F11C1.14 ncRNA